GACGAACGCUGGCGGCGUGCUUGACACAUGCAAGUCGAACGGUAAGGCCCUUCGGGGUACACGAGUGGCGAACGGGUGAGUAACACGUGGGUGAUCUGCGCUGCACUUCGGGAUAAGCCUGGGAAACUGGGUCUAAUACCGGAUAGGACUCCGGACUGGAUGGUCGGUGGGGGAAAGCUUUUGCGGUGUGGGAUGGGGCCGCGGCCUAUCAGCUUGUUGGUGGGGUGAUGGCCUACCAAGGCGACGACGGGUAGCCGGCCUGAGAGGGUGACCGGCCACACUGGGACUGAGAUACGGCCCAGACUCCUACGGGAGGCAGCAGUGGGGAAUAUUGCACAAUGGGCGCAAGCCUGAUGCAGCGACGCCGCGUGAGGGAUGACGGCCUUCGGGUUGUAAACCUCUUUCAGCAUCGACGAAGCGAAAGUGACGGUAGGUGCAGAAGAAGGACCGGCCAACUACGUGCCAGCCGCCGCCGUAA
rnacentral:rRNA from 1 species